rnacentral:rRNA from 1 species
GAUGAACGCUGGCGGCGUGCCUAAUACAUGCAAGUCGAGCGAACAGAUAAGGAGCUUGCUCCUUUGAAGUUAGCGGCGGACGGGUGAGUAACACGUGGGUAACCUACCUAUAAGACUGGGAUAACUUCGGGAAACCGGAGCUAAUACCGGAUAACAUUUAGAACCGCAUGGUUCUAAAGUGAAAGAUGGUUUUGCUAUCACUUAUAGAUGGACCCGCGCCGUAUUAGCUAGUUGGUAAGGUAACGGCUUACCAAGGCGACGAUACGUAGCCGACCUGAGAGGGUGAUCGGCCACACUGGAACUGAGACACGGUCCAGACUCCUACGGGAGGCAGCAGUAGGGAAUCUUCCGCAAUGGGCGAAAGCCUGACGGAACAACGCCGCGUGAGUGAUGAAGGGUUUCGGCUCGUAAAACUCUGUUAUUAGGGAAGAACAAAUGUGUAAGUAACUGUGCACAUCUUGACGGUACCUAAUCAGAAAGCCACGGCUAACUACGUG